GACGAACGCUGGCGGCGUGCUUAACACAUGCAAGUCGGACGGAAAGGCCCUGCUUUUGUGGUGUGCUCGAGUGGCGAACGGGUGAGUAACACGUGAGUAACCUGCCCUUGACUUUGGGAUAACUUCAGGAAACUGGGGCUAAUACCGGAUAGGAGCUCCUGCUGCAUGGUGGGGGUUGGAAAGUUUCGGCGGUUGGGGAUGGACUCGCGGCUUAUCAGCUUGUUGGUGGGGUAGUGGCUUACCAAGGCUUUGACGGGUAGCCGGCCUGAGAGGGUGACCGGCCACAUUGGGACUGAGAUACGGCCCAGACUCCUACGGGAGGCAGCAGUGGGGAAUAUUGCACAAUGGGCGGAAGCCUGAUGCAGCAACGCCGCGUGCGGGAUGACGGCCUUCGGGUUGUAAACCGCUUUCGCCUGUGACGAAGCGUGAGUGACGGUAAUGGGUAAAGAAGCACCGGCUAACUACGUG
rnacentral:rRNA from 1 species